rnacentral:rRNA from 1 species
UAGCGUAUAUUAAAGUUGUUGCAGUUAAAAAGCUCGUAGUUGAAUUUCGGGAUCAAUACGUCGGUCGUGCCUUCGGUACGUACUGUCGUCAUUGGUUUCUCCCUUCUGACGAACCAUGAUGUCAUUAAUUUGGUGUUAUGGGGAGUUAGGACUGUUACUUUGAAAAAAUUAGAGUGUUUAAAGCAGGCAA